UUGGCCAAUUUCUCUCUAAAGUUUUCCAAAAAUAAAACAAUCUCCAAUUUUCCAAAACUAAAAUAAUGCGGUUGCCCAAUUUCUCUCUACAGUUUUCUUCUUCACUCUCCGUGCAAUCACCAAACCCUAACUUCGAAAAUGCAAUUCCGAUCCACAAGUUAUCUUACUAUCUCCUUCUCCUUUGUGGUGGGGACCUUCGUUCUCUUAUCUUUCAUGUCUUGGAGCACCGGAGUCAUGGGAGGUCGCCGAUUUGGACGUAGCCACGAGUCGAUUGAUGCUCCCUUCUUCAUCCCCUAACAAGAAUUCCAAAUCCUUGGACCACCCUGUUGCCGAUGCUGUUACUGCCUAUCAUUUUUUAUUCCGCUUCGUUGCUUCGGCUUCUUCUGCUCUCGAUAGGGUUUCCGAGGAUGAUGCUAUCAAUCCGGUUGAUCGGUUCCUUCGUGACGAGGCUUUGCACAACCCUGGCAAGCGUCUAUCAAAACAUUUUACAAAGGUUUCAAAAAACUGGACAAGCAAGGGUGUUGGCCACACAGAAACCAAUGAGCAGCAAUGCAACAUGCACACGGUGCACAGAAGGUGUUGCCUUGGUGCCAUCUUUGCAGUAGCAGAAGCAAACUUUCAAAAGCUCUUUGACAAGAAAUUGUGUCAAACUUUUUUUCUUUCUCUUUUCUUCUAGAAACUCUUUCCAGAACAUAUGUAUAUAUAUGUGUGUAUAUACAUAUAUAUUUGCAAAAUCUCUCUUUAAAAAGGUCUAUCCGAAAACAUUUUCUUAGUCUUUUCUUGCUUCAAAUUCUUUUUUGAACUUUUUCCAUAUUAUUUUCUUGAACUUUUGUCUCCCAACAGAGUAAUCUGGAUGUUUGGCUUGGGCGGUUUGCAAUUGCAGGAUUUGCAAUUGCAAUUAGUGUUGAAAUUGCAACAGGCAAGGGGCUUUUAUAGACAUGGGUGCAGUGAUAUCUAGGUUGAGGAAGAGACUUUUUCAGAACCGUGAAGUGAGAAUCCUGAUGCUCGGUUUUGAUGCAUCGGGGAAGACAACCAUUUUGUACAAACUAAAACUUGGUGAAAUAGUUAUGGCCAUGUCAACUAUUGGGUUCAAUGUGGAAACAGUAGAAUACAAAAAAAUGAGCUGCACUGUCUGGGAUGUUGGAGGACAAGAUAAGGUUUGAAAUCACACCCUCUCACUCUGCUUCUGCAAAUACUAUACUUCGAUUACAAUCUGAAAAAGUAAAGAACGUAUGCUUUAAAAUGUAUGUUAAUGGAGCAACAAUAAUGAUCAAAACAUUUGUUUGUGAAAGUUCUAAGACUAAAACUAAAACAUAAAAUUUCAGAGUACACUGUUAUUGUUAAUAAGAUCAUGGCUUUAAGUGAAAACAAUAAAUAAGGUAAGACAAUUUAUCUAAAUAUAUUUCCAAUUAAUUUAAAUUGUAAAAUUGACUUGAUUACUCAUCUCCCGGCCAAAGGAUUUGUUUCAAGUGUGAAGUGUAAAAUCUUUACUUCAUAGGAUUUGUUCAAAUGUGUCAAAAGUGGGAUUCAUCAUAUAACAUAUAUUAAUGCUGAAAUAAGCCUGAUCGUAGGUAAAGAAGUCAGCAGUGAUUUAUUUCAAAUGCUAUUGGAUGUUAGAAAUCAUAAGUGUUUGAUUUGUUAAGUAAUAUUUUUUUGGACAUAAGAGAUCUUAAAUCAUAACUUUGUAUUUGACAAAAAUCUGUUUGAGGUGAAGGGAUGGAAAAUAUCGCAUGCAUAAGCAUCCAAAAUGUUUCGUACAUGUUUGAAACAUAAACUUGAUAGUAUUUGGGUGGUCUAAAUAGAAUUAUAGAAGUCCAAUCUCUUGAAACAUUUUAGGUAUUAGAAUGUACUUAGAGUAAUCUUUUUAGAAGAUAUUUUAGAGUAAGAUGCACAAUUCUCUAAAAUGUGAUAGAAAAAUUGUAUUAUAGAGUGAUUAAAAAUUGAUGGAGAUUCUUUCAACUAGAUGGAGUGGAAAAAAAGUAUAAUAGAACAAUUAUGAACAUGAGAAGAAACAUGCUUAAAAGCAAGAAACUACUUAAAGAGUUCUGGAAAAUAAGUGGUAUGUGCAAUCUACCUGUCCAACCAAUUUCCAUAUAGAAGCAUGAUAGCUUGUGAUUAUCCAUUUGGAAACAUUGCUGGUGUGCAUAUACCAAAAGGAAAAAGAAGUUGGAAUCUUUAUUGGUUAUGAUUUCAGUACCAAAGACUACAAACUCUGCGAUCUUGAUACACAAAGGAAAAUCAUUUCUCGAGUUAUUGUAUAGAUGACAUAAGGAGAAUGAGGUUAGGACGAGUUGAUGAAGACUAAAACUUCUUUCUAUACUUCAAAGAAGGUGACCAUGGAGGAAAUAAAAAUAGAGAGCAAAUGAAAAAGGUGCGCCUCCAUCCCCACCAACUUCACGACCUCAAGCUUUCAAGUAGACAAAAGCUCACGAGAAAGAGUUUUGCACUUCCAAAACUUUCAAGAACUUUAUGAAGUAUCCGCAAACCAAUAUAGUCUUCACUCUUUUGUCUUUUUGACAACCAUGAGCAUAUGAACUUUCUAGGAGCUAUGGAAAACAUAAAGGAAAUGCGUCAUGGAUGAGGAGAUGAAGAAGAUCGGCUCAUGGGAACGAGUCUCACUUCCAAAAUAGCGUAAAACCAUUGAUGUCAAGUGGGUUUACAAAAUCAAAAAGUAUGCCAGAGGAUAAGUUGAAAGAUAUAGCCAAGAUUAAUGAGAAAUGGUUAUAUAAAAAUAGUCUGACAUCCACUGUUGCUUAAUUAGAAAUAAUAAUUUCAUUAGCAGCUCAAAAAAGUUGGAGAAUCCUUCAAAUAGAUGUAAAGUCUACUUUUUUUUCUAAUUAACUUCUUGAGGAAGUAGUCUACGUUGAACAACCACAAGAUUAUGAAGGUGAGGAAAAACAAGACGAAGUUUUGAAGCUAAAAAAGUCAUAUUAUGGGUCGAAGCAUGCUCCAAGAGCUUGGAAUUCUUGAAUAGACAAGUGCUACACCAAAAAAACUUCAUCAAGUGUAUCAGUUGUACGAGUACACACUCUACAUCAAAUUCCAAAUUAAUGAUGUAUUGAUUGUGUGCUAGUAUGUAGAUAUAUAACUGAAUCUAUAGAAGUAGUUAUCUAAGUAUGUUCAACAACUUUUAAGAGAAGACGAAUGCGUUUGAGAUGAUUGAUCGAGCUAAACAUUCAUCAUACAAACCUCUGUUCUAAGUAGGAAACAUAGAUUUGGUCGAAACGACAUUCUCUAAAGUUUGAUAACUAGUUCAUGGUUGAAGUAUCAAUUGAAACGACAUUCUCUGAAGUUGCAACUUCUUCUCAUUUAAGGUUACAAUGUUUAUUUCUAUAUCUGAACUGUAAUUGUUUAGGUAAGAAAAGGUAAAGUGGUCAUUUCCUCUCAAAUUUGAUACUUGGCCUGUCAAAAUUUGGAUUUGACCAUAAAAAUCAAAAUCCGACUCAUGGAAUUUUCGGUCAUUGUAAUGAUAAAACUAGCUACUAAAUAAAUUUUAAGGCCAACUAUUUUAAAACAUAGCCAAAAUGACCAAAAAAUUGAUUGACAUACAAAAUUAGGCUCCGAAUAUUGAGUUAAGCUCAAACUCUCACCUCAAACAACUCUUAAUAGUUAGAAACUAUAAAAUAGUUUUGGCCAUAUCUUUCUAAUGAAACUUUUACUGACUUUACAUUAAUAUGAUUUGUUUUAUAGGACGUACAACUGUGUUUUUGAGUUUUGUAAAACUUUUAUGAACACAAUGUAUCUGAAAAAUAGUCUAUGGUGUCUAGUUACUAAUGCUUCAUGUUAAUUUGAUAUUUUACGUAAUUGUAGUGAUGAACUUAUAUUUAUUUAAUUAGAGAACAAAAUAUUUAAACAAAUGAAAACUUGAGUUUGUUACAUAGAUAAGGCCAUUAUAAAGACAUUACUUCCAGAACACCCAAGAACUUGUAUUUGUUGUAGAUAGCGAUGACAGAGACAAAAUUUGUGAAGCUCGUAAUGAGUUGCAUCGUAUUCUCAAUGUGGUAUACUCUACACUGAAUUUUCAUUCUCACUAUGCUUUUGCUUAGUUGUGUGAUAAUAAUUAUUUGAUAAACCAUAUUCCAUAGCAAUGCACAAAAGUUCUCUGA